rnacentral:rRNA from 1 species
UGCAGUCGAGCGAUGGAUUGAGAGCUUGCUCUCAAGAAGUUAGCGGCGGACGGGUGAGUAACACGUGGGUAACCUGCCCAUAAGACUGGGAUAACUCCGGGAAACCGGGGCUAAUACCGGAUAACAUUUUGAACNGCAUGGUUCGAAAUUGAAAGGCGGCUUCGGCUGUCACUUAUGGAUGGACCCGCGUCGCAUUAGCUAGUUGGUGAGGUAACGGCUCACCAAGGCAACGAUGCGUAGCCGACCUGAGAGGGUGAUCGGCCACACUGGGACUGAGACACGGCCCANACUCCUACGGGAGGCAGCAGUAGGGAAUCUUCCGCAAUGGACGAAAGUCUGACGGAGCAACGCCGCGUGAGUGAUGAAGGCUUUCGGGUCGUAAAACUCUGUUGUUAGGGAAGAACAAGUGCUAGUUGAAUAAGCUGGCACCUUGACGGUACCUAACCAGAAAGCCACGGCUAACUACGUGCCAGCAGCCGCGGUAAUACGUAGGUGGCAAGCGUUAUCCGGAAUUAUUGGGCGUAAAGCGCGCGCAGGUGGUUUCUUAAGUCUGAUGUGAAAGCCCACGGCUCAACCGUGGAGGGUCAUUGGAAACUGGGAGACUUGAGUGCAGAA